GUAGUUGGUGGUCGGGGUGGGUGUGGAGGAGAAUAAUUAAAACAACAAAUACCAGGCUAAUGGAUCAGAAGGUCUGGUGAAUAUGACUGAAUAGUUUUGUGUUUAUUCCUUGUACAUUGUGGUAGAGAAGGUAGACAUAGCCCUGGGAAAUUCACAGAAGGAGGCAGAAAUUUUAUGGAAAAAGAAGGAAAAGGGACACUGCAUAUACAGGAAACAGCAGAGUGUUCCUCUGAAUUCCUUCUUGCCAGCUCAUGCUAUGAUUUUGGUUAACACCCUCCUCCCACGGGGAUGCAUGUGUGAAAACUGAAGAUACAAGGAUGAAUCACUUUCGUCAGACCUAGAUGAAAUAGGGCCAGGAAGUCCAGAAGGAGAGGAGGUUCGUGCUUACCUUACAUGCUUCAGAAAGACAAGGACUUUCUGAAGACCAUUUCUCAUCCUUUGUGUAUCAUCUGCUUUGAUAAGAUUUAUUACCAGACAUUUUUAAUUUUUUUUUUUUACUCUCAAGUGACAUUGACAGCACUAGACAUCCUUUACGACUGCAGUGAUUUAGAAAAGAUGUUCUCAGAAGAACACUUUCCCAGUAACAGCAUUUCUACCCAUGAAAUGACGGCAACUCUGCUUUGAACCUCUGGAACCAGUCAAGUGUUUCCAAGCAGCUUAGGCUGACAGACUCUUCAGCAUAGGGAGAGAUGGUGUCCAAAGUUCUUUCUACAAACUUUAUCACUCAACCUAGAACAGAAAGCUGCUGGAGGAUGUGCUCCACCAAAACAAGGGGCUAUACUAGGAAACAGGAAGACGAGAGAUCCAGAAAAGGCGGUAUUAACUUGAGAGAGAGUUGAAGUGGAUCCCCAGCAUGACAAAAUGACAGUGACAGCUGCACUCCACUUCCAGAGGAUGAGCAGUCUUAAAUGAAACAGCAUACAGAAACCCUGGAGAGAUGUUAAGAAAAUGCAAUUGGUGGAAUACUUGUUACAGCCUGUUUCAUCUGAUACAAGUAUAGCUACUCCAGCAGAAGAAACUUUAAUUCAUAUGACAAAAGCAUGGAUGAAUGGAUAAAUGAAGAAUCAGGACCACUGAUGCCAUUAUUUUCUGAGGUUCAUUAUAUCACUGAAUCUUCUGGGAUCCUUCUGCUCUGGUCCCAGAUCAACCUUGAUAUCCUCGUUUAUAUCUUUCCCUGGAUUCCAGCCAUCCACCUAAGCCCCAAGUUACUGAUUAUUGGUCUGUUUCGGAAACUCAGGACUGUUUCCCCUGAUCUGGUGCUAUAGACAAGCAUUCCUGGUGAGCUCAGUCUGACAACUCCCCACCCAGAGCGCUGGCAUCUUCCCAGGAGCUCCCACCACUGAAGCAAGGCUUCUCCAGCCUCUCAGUGAUAGGGAAUGAUUGAUGGCAGCCAUUCUGGGACAGAAAUCAAAAUGCAAUAGGCGGAGAAGGGAUUGAUGCCACCUGCUCUCACUUAUUGAAUAGUAAUUGCCAAUCUUUUAGAUGGGUUAACUUCAUGUGCUUUUCAUAUCUUUUAUGUUUCUAUGGAGCUUUUUAACCUACCUUGGAGAUUGUAAAAGGAGAUUCUAUUUCAGAAAGCAAAGUGAGGAGUUCAGGCCAUCUGUCAGUACAGGCUUCAGCAAAUAGUGUAUUUGUGCACUGACUUUGCUUCACAUCCACCUCCAUUUGCCUCUGCUGUUUUGUCCUACGAUCAUGGUUAAUGCUGAAAGAAAGAAGCGUGACUCCCAUCAGUCAUCAGCUCUUCUCAGAUAAAGCAAGGUGAAAUCAACUAGAGAAUGAGUUCCACAAUGCCAGUAAAAUUUAAAUAAAAUCAAAGUAAA